rnacentral:lncRNA from 1 species
AACUUCCGCAACCCCAAGUGAGAUCGCUAAUAGUAUUUCUUCUCUGCACACCGAACUCUCUCCUGAACAUCUGUGAGCUGAAGAUGCGAAUUCUCUUUCUGUUGCCUCAGUUUCAGAAUUUCCACCUUCAAAAUGUUUUGGUCCUUCUUCAGUUUCUACAUUGAAAGCUCCUUCAUGCAUCUGUUCUACUUACUCCUCCUCCUUAUGUUCUUUAGCUAAUGCUUCUUCCCUCCUUCGAAUCCUUCAUUCGUAAACUCCCAACGCUCUCAAUCAACCUUCCUGAAGCCACCGGAAGAGUUUUACUUCAAAAGAGGUUUUUUUUCUGAAAUUUCUUAGUUUGUGGUUAUAAUUUGUUGAUACAUGCAUGUUUUAUAAUUAGUUUUAUUUCAAUCAAAAUUAUUCUUCUAUAUUUAAUAUAUUUGUUUUAAUAUACUGUAGAAAAAUAUAUUUGCUCCAAUAUGUGGAACUUAUGUAUAGUUUUUUUUUUAAAAUUGAAAAACUUACAUACUUUGUUUUUAACCAAUCAAACGUAUAAAAAUUCUCUACAGGCAGUUAGUUACAGACAUUAAAUGAUGAUUAAAAUUUCAAAAGUUACGUUUGCGUAGAAAUCUGGAAGCUGUAAAUAGUUGGAAAGUGAAAAUUACUUGCUUCUAUAUCACCUUUCACACACCGCAGGGGAUGAAGUUUUUACAUUAUCAUUCUUUUUUACAUCUAAAUUUACAAUUUCAUAAAUUAUUAUUUUAAUACAAUAUUUAAUUAUAUUUAUUAUUAUUAUUUUAAUAUAAUAUUUUAUUAUGAAAAGUAAUUAUCAAAUACUCGCUUACGUUCAUGUGACAACUAUUUUUCAUACUAAAAUAAUAAUAAUAAUAAUAAAUAUAGUAAAAUAAUUAAAAAAAUUAUAAUUUAAAAUAUAAGAUAAUAUUGAUGAUAUGAAAGUAGCAUCUUCAUACCUGCAAAACCAAAAGAGUACGCAUGGAUCGUGCACUAAAAAUGUUGACUCAUAACUCAAAUACUAUUCUUAUUAUCUCUUCUAAAUUCUAUGAUUUCUGAUGAUUUUUGGUAAGAUAAGAAAUUAUGAUAAUUUUAGAUUGUUUCAUUUUAGAGGUGACACUUUACUUAUGGUUGAAAUUUUAAUAAUUAUAUGGUAAGACCUAGGAAGAUUCUCACUAGACACAAACAUAACUAAGUGGUUAAAUAAGUGUUGAAGAUUCACUUCCAAAAGCAAAAGGAAAAAUACAUUAUAAGGUGAGAAUGAUGUAUGGUGCAACCAACAGAUGACUAAGGACACAUCAAUCACUUCACAAAAAGAAAGUAUCAGUAGAACAAGAGGAAGCUAUAAACCAGAAUAUUAGAAAUUCUUCCUUAUGGUCUUUUCCACAAGAGAAAAGUUAUGUAAAUAAAUUGGGCUCAUUUUAGGGGUCCAAAUAGCAAGAUAGGCUAGAAUAGGUGCCUUUAGCAUAAUAGGGGGUGUAGUUAUCAUUUUAGCUGGUUUUUUUACCUAGUUUCCAGAAGAAGUGGCCUAAGGUGCGGUUUUGACUUAGUCAAACCCUAAAGGUAGCCCCCUCACACAUUUACCAUCCUAUCCUUUCUCAUCUUGUUUUCCAAAGCACUCAUUCCUAUAAAUAGGGUGUCUUACUCCAUGUAUUUUCAAGUUGAUUUUUAUAGAAGAAGGAAAACUCUGCACAAAUUGUGUGAGGCUAGUUUGCUUUAAGCAUUAGGUCUUAUCUUGAGUGAGUUGAGAGUUCUCAAGUGGCAACCCUCUACACUCAUCUUGAAGAAACCACACUCCAAGUGGCGUGUCCAACUCUCUUCCAUCACCAUAAGCAUUCUUCCUUCAUCUCUUCUACCAUUUCCAUACGCCACUUAUCUUUUAUGCUUCCUAUAUUUGUGUUCCUUCAUCUUUUCCUUCAUGUUAUCAUGUUUCUUGUCAUGUCUUUUACAUUCCGCACCAUACAUCAUGUUCACUCUAUUAUGUGAUUUUCCUCUUUGCCUUUGGAAGUAAACUUUCACACUUACUUAACCUCUUGGUUAAGUUCCUGUCUAGUGGGGAUCCUCCCUAGGUCUCACCAUAUACUUGUUAAAAUCUCAAUCAUAAGUAAAGUGUCACCUCUAAAAUGGAACCAUCUAAAAUCAACUCACUUUAAGAAAUAAAGCUCAAAACACACCUGUAACACCAAGAGGGAAUGAGCUGCCGAAGCUCAAGGGUGGGCGCAAAGUCUCUGAAGUCGUCGAUGACGGCAUCAGUGUGGCCUCCACGAAGAGAACCCCUUGAUCGUCACAGUCAAUCUCCAUGUGAUCAUCUUCGUCUCGUCAUAGCCUUCCAGCCAUUGAAUAAAAGGGCAACACCUUUCUUAGGGCCUUCUUAAGAAUCUUUUCUCAAAAAAGUUGGACGCAUUGUUCGGUCUAAAGUAGACACUGAGCGUGUGGGAAUUGGACACCACCAGGUCGACAUUAGAGUUCCACAGCAACUGCCGGUCCACCUCUUUCGCUGGGCGCACCAGGGUUGAUUCCUUCACGUUGAUGUUCAAACUCCGUUCAAGCCGCUUUGCGCUACCCUUCUUCAUCAAUCAUUUUACUUCAGAAGAAAUCAAGAAAUGGAUCGAAGAGGGUGAGGUGGGAGAGGUAGUUACUAAGGUGAGAGAGGUAAACAAUGAAGAUGUUGCAGAGUUUCGUGACAAAGGUGAGAAAGCGAAAUGUGAGGCGAGUUUAGGGGGAAGCACAUGCGGGAAACAGUGGGGGUGAAGGGGUAGUUGAGAAGGAGGAAGAGAAGACCUAUGCAGACAACAAAUCACAAUCCAUAUUUGCACCUAUCUAUGCCACAUCAUAAACAUUUAACUUUGUUAGUCCAAAGGUUCAAAGUUAACCGAAUGAACCAUUUUGAAUAGAUUUUAAUUUUUUAAUAACCAUCAUACUUAGUAAAUUGAAUAUUGACUAUAAAUAUAAAAAGGAGAAAGGUAAUUAUAAAAAAACCAUGAAUGAUGAUAAUAGUAUGUAGUAAUCAAACAUGUGUUUCUAAAAUAUACUUAAAUGCACAAUUUCAUUAAAAAAAACGUGCUUUCAUGUACUACUAGAGAAAAAUACUUAAAAAAAUAAAUUAUUUAAGUAAUAAAAAAAGGUUAAAAAAAAUAAAGUCGUCCUUUGAAUAAUGAUUUCGGUGUUUAAAAUCUAACCUGUUUUUGAAUUUUUAUUAUUUUUUCAUUUUGAAAUCGUGGUUUUGAAUACAACUUUUUUUUCCAUUUCUUAAAUUUUAAAAAUUUGUCUAUCUACAUAAUAUUCAACUUAAAUUACACUAAUUUUAAAAUAAGUUUCUAUUGAUAACAAAAACAUGUACUUAUCUUUUACACAAGAAAUCUAUAUUUGCAUAGUGUAUCUCUUACACAAGGAAAACAUUGUAUCAGAAUUUUUAUUUAGUGUUUCUCUUUAAUUAUUUUCCACCCUCAAUGUCGAUCAAAAUACUUAGACAACUAUAGAUUAAUAUUAAACCAUUAAAUCAGUAAUUUCAUUACAAUAAUGGAAUACACAAAUAAAAAUUAAAUUACACACAAAUAUUACUAUAAAUUAUAUAUAUAUAUAUAUAUAUAUAUAUAUAUAUUAUGUGAUGAGAUAUGGUAUAUAAUAUCAUACAUGUCACAUAAUCACUCCACAAACCAGUAGAGCCAAAUCGGUUUAUACCAUUUCCUAUACACACAUUCCAACAGAUGACUAAGUUGCUCCACCUAUUCCUGAUGAGAUCUGCAGCUUGAAAACACUUUUUAAAACACAGCCCUAACCAUAUUUCUAAUGUAUUGCAAAAUCUUAUAACACCGUAAAAUUGUAUUUCUAUUGUACACAAUAGUCAUGGAAAACAUAUUUUCCUCAAUAGUAUUUCUGUAAAACAAAAUACCAGUAUAUGAACUUAAUUAAAAAGAGGUAUGACAGUAACAAUUCCCCCAUUAAAAUUACCCCUAGCACUGACAUGUUCAUCUUCUAAUCCAAAAUCAAGCCCAUCAAUACACCAAUUUGCUAGGCAGUUUGUGGUUUCCUAGCCACAAUUACAUGUACGCCUUCAUGGCAUUUCAUUUCAAAUAAUAACUAUUAGUUAAAUUUGUGAACUUUAAGCAAAGCCAGUCUGAUUCUUUUUGUCUGAUGGUUGUCUAAUAGUUGAUCAUGUGUCCAAAGAAAUGAAAAACAAUAAUUAUAAUAUGUAGUCAGUAAAAUAUAAUUCUUCAGUUGAUCUAGCACUUGAAAUUUUACAUGCUUAUGGAAACAAGCAAUAUUCAUUGUGAUUUCACCCAUGAAUGGGCGGCUCAACUUCGUUAACUGGACUCUACAACUUGUAGGUCAAUGAAAUCUGACCAGCUGAAUCAUUUGGAAGCAAUCC